GCACACUAUCCCUGAGGCCCUGAAGCAUGCACAUAUGGUGACACACUGCUCUGUUCCAGCAAGCACUAGGUAUUUUUUUUUUAUGUGUAGCUCAUUCUUCAGGCUUGCAGAAACUUGCUGGGCAUCAGCAACAGCACUGGCAGAGAGGAAGUAUGGACAGAUGGCUCUUGGCUGAACCUCCUGCCUGUCAAUGGCUGGCAAUUCCUCUUCUAUCUCUGGCGUUUCGGCAAGAACAGAAGGAGCACUGCCAGCUCCUACGUUUAGUGUUGCUGGCUGCAACCUGCCAGGGACAACAUAUGGUCUGCAGUACCUACAGAGGGAGUUGGACAGGAGAUGGCUGCCGGUCCCCACUGAGAUUCAAGGCAUGCCUUAUUCUGAUGUUUGGCAGCAGUUGAAAUGCCACACAGCAAAGUGUCUUGGAGUGCUCCUAAGAGGACACUCCAGUCAGCCAGAAGAGCAGUGAAGACAUCAGGGAAUCAAAAGUACUGAGGCUGUGCUCUGUCCUAUUUAACACCAAUACACCAAAAGCCUUUGGGAACCCAGAUGCAUGUGUUUCUAAUGAAAACAUGACCCUGUGAAUUAUGUAGUUGCUCUCCCUGUAGCUGAAGAGAACCAUGAUACAGCAUGGACAGGGCAGUGUCAUUUUCUUGCAGAAUGAUCUAGCCUAGCAGUUCACAUCCUGCUUUGCGAUAUGUAUAGGUCCUGGGAAUUUGUUGACUUUACACACAAGAUCAGAAGACAGAGCCUUCUCUUCCUUAGGAUGUGGAGGGACUGCUACAUGGGUCCACAAUGAGUGUUUCUCAGCAACACAGCAAUGCUUUGGAGCUUCAGGAGAUCCUUACCUGGAAUAUGUUAAGAUACAUACAAUGGUGUUACAGGAAUCUUAAGUUUAAGAUGUGGCCCUGUGGCUCUAGUGGAAUUGAUAUUCUAGGGUCUAUCAGUGAGACCAGGUAAGUCUGGUCUCUUGUCUGUAUCUUGGAUGGACCCCCUUGCAUGUCUACACAGAUGUUCCUGGAGAUUAAACUCCUGUCAAUUUGAAUGAAAAGGGGAAAAAAGGAAGACAUUGUUCCUCAGUGAAAAUUAUCUGACUGUACUCUUCCCACAGGAAGAGGAAACCUGCCAAAUUUAGGGAAUUUUUAUAACAGAUGUGAAAUCUGCACCUGACCACAAGGCAGUAAUGGCCAUAACACAAGCACAGAGAUAAAUACUGCUGCAGGGAUAACAGACCUGAAAAAUAUCUCAGCUGAGAAUGGUUCAAUUUGCACAUAGCUAAUCGAUAGAAAGAGCAGAUCAAUAACAACAACAGAAAUACUUCAUAUUAUGAGUAAGAUUCUGUGUCAAUUAAAAGUGUGGCUGCAGAUCUCAGGCACAUACCUGGAACAGCUUUUUAAUUAAAUGGCAUCAAGACGCUUAGAGCAA